rnacentral:rRNA from 1 species
UACGUAGGGUGCGAGCGUUGUCCGGAAUUAUUGGGCGUAAAGAGCUCGUAGGCGGUUUGUCGCGUCGACUGUGAAAACCUGGGGCUUAACUCUGGGCCUGCAGUCGAUACGGGCAGACUUGAGUUCGGUAGGGGAGACUGGAAUUCCUGGUGUAGCGGUGAAAUGCGCAGAUAUCAGGAGGAACACCGGUGGCGAAGGCGGGUCCCUGGACAACUCCUGACGCUGAGGCACGAAAGCUAGGGGAGCGAACGGG